rnacentral:rRNA from 1 species
UGGGAACGUGCCCUUUGGCUCGGGACAACUCCGGGAAACUGGAGCUAAUACCGGAUACGCCCUUCGGGGAAAGAUUCAUCGCCAAAGGAUCGGCCCGCGUCUGAUUAGCUUGUUGGUGAGGUAAUGGCUCACCAAGGCGACGAUCAGUAGCUGGUCUGAGAGGAUGAUCAGCCACACUGGGACUGAGACACGGCCCAGACUCCUACGGGAGGCAG